UUAGUAGUUUAUAUAUACAUUUACUGCAUUUUUAGUCACUUUGUUUGAAAACUGUAACUGCCUGACGAAUGUUUACUUGAGGAGUAUGUUGAAACCAUACUAACUCUUAGAGCCGCGGAUUUCAGUUGGAAUUUUAAAAGCCUUCGUGGUUCGAUAAAAUUCAACGUUCAAAUUGAUAAGUUUUUCAAUCUUCUAUUUGAAAAUCUCUUUCUUUGUUCUUUAGAAUAUGAAUGAGUAGCAUGUUACUUACAAUAGUCGGUCAAAGUGUCUAAGGUAUACGCUCUCA